CCUUCGAUAGCUCAGUUGGAAGAGCGUGGGACUGUAAAGGUUACCGCUCACGUAAUCCCAAGGUCACUGGAUCGACGCCGGUUCGAAGGA
rnacentral:tRNA from 1 species